UACGGAGGGGGCUAGCGUUGUUCGGAAUUACUGGGCGUAAAGCGCACGUAGGCGGCUUUGUAAGUUAGAGGUGAAAGCCCAGGGCUCAACCCUGGAAUUGCCUUUAAGACUGCAUCGCUAGAAUCAUGGAGAGGUCAGUGGAAUUCCGAGUGUAGAGGUGAAAUUCGUAGAUAUUCGGAAGAACACCAGUGGCGAAGGCGACUGACUGGACAUGUAUUGACGCUGAGGUGCGAAAGCGUGGGGAGCAAACAGG
rnacentral:rRNA from 1 species